rnacentral:lncRNA from 1 species
GUAACCCAGGCCGGGCUCAAACUUGUGAUCCUCCUACCUUUGCCUGGGAUAAUAUGUGUGCAGCCCCAUGCCCAGCUCACAUGGCUUUUAAAGCAAGUGUGCAGUAUCCACCGUCAGACGAGGAGGCUUCACAGGGUCACUGGUGGUGUGGAAGGAACCAGACUUAAGAAUGGAAGGAAGGCAAACCCCUUCUGUGAGUCUCCACCGUGCUUGCAACUAGCUGCAGUCAAAAACCUGCUUCCUCAUCUGCUGAGCUUGGAACCAAGCCAAGACCUCAUGCCCUACCUCAGGGCGGUGAGCACUGCAGCCAAGCCCAGCGCCUCAGCUGGGAACCCUCGCUUCCUAUUCAUGGCUUGGGCAGCACCUGAAAGGAACAUUACUUCACCAAGCAGCCAGCCUGGGCUCUCUGUGGGAAAUUUCACACACGCAGGCACGCACUCACUCUGCACCAGAGAACACGCAUAGCUUUUUGGCACAAAUGUGAACCUUAAGUCGCUCCUGCCUCUUAAAUGCACUGCAUCUUUCUCUCAUGUGCAGCGCUACUUGUAAGACCAACAGCUGUUUUUCUGAUGAUUCCUGCCCAUUUGGGAGAUUUAACUCUAUGGCCUCCUUCUGCCCUUUGCCGGCCUCCAUGACAGCUGAAGAGCAGAGCCUUGCAAUUACGAGGCCCUGAGCAGAUUCGCAAGGGCAGAAAGUGCAUGCUGUGGGGCUUCCAUCACCAAAACAAGGCCUCGCCAUGAGUUCAGGUACAUUUUUCUCAACUUUUUUUUUUUUGAAGGUACUAAUGAUUGAACUCGGCCUUUGUAUUCUGCUACAUCCCCAGUCCCUUUUUUUUUUUGGUUGAGAGGCGUCUCCCUAAGUCAUUACAUGGUCCAGGCUGGGCACGAACUUGGGUUCCUAUUUCAGCCCCUCCAGAGUACUGGGAUUCCAAGCGUGUGAGUCACCACCAUCCCAGCUUUCAGCCAACUCGCCUCAAUUCUCUUACUUAGAGCUCAUCUAUGUCACUGAGUGGUGAUGCCGAGUCACGUGGGGUUAGAAACCAGUGCCAGCAUGCUGACACCGUGGCUACUGCUAUUUCUGGUAGUAACAGACUGUUCUCUGACUCAGGAGUCUCAUGUCUUCUACCAGCAUCUGUGAAACUGGUAGGUCAACUGCUUCUCCCACCCACAAGUCAGAUAUGGAGCAGCCUGGGAGCCCCUUGAGCACAGCAGCUCUAGGACCUGCUCAGACAGCAGGGUGACAGUGGCAGUGGUGGCCAGCAAUGCUGUCCUCCAGGCUUCUGCUCAAACGUCAUCUUGCCAGAGUGGUCUCCCCUGGCCAUCCCAUCCCCCAGGACAUCUGUGCCUUUGGAGGCUGUCACCUCUGUGCCUUUAUCUUGAUUUUCUGUCCUUCACACUUAUACCAUGUGUCAUUUCCUGUAUUUAUUUGUUGUCUGCAUUCCCCUACAUGACUGCAGAUUCUGUCCAAGAAGGGGAUUCAGUUUGUAGCUAUGAUACUGCCACUAAGGACAGUGCCCUGCACAGGAGGUGAGGCUGUCAGACCAGAAAGUUCUCUGGGUCCCUUCCAAGUCCUCUCACCCAGGUAACCACUGUUCUGAUGUCUAGGAUUAUCUUUGCUGAUUCCUGAACUUCAUAUAAAUAGGAUGUGUUCAUAUGAACAUACUGAGCGGAUGUGCUUGUCUGUGUCUUUGCAUUGCUGUGUGUCUCAGGAGCAGCUUGCUCUUCUUUUAUAGCUGUAAUAUUCCACUCAUGGAUAUAUCUCCAUUUAUGGGUAUACCAUACUUUGUUUACAAUUCUUCUGUUGAUGAGCAUUUGUGUGGUUUGGAAUAAAGUUGCAAUGAAUUUUGUUAUUGUUUUUGCAGUACUGGGUAUUGAACCCAGAGCCUUCUCAUUGAGUUAUAUCUCCAGGCCCUUUUAACUUUUGGAUAUUGAGACACUCUCACUAAAUCAUUGUUAUGGCUAUCUAGAUGUCUCACCAAAGCCUCUUGUGAUCAUAGGUGGGGCUUUCCA